rnacentral:rRNA from 1 species
UUGACGGGGCCGCACAGCGGUGGAGCAUGUGGUUUAAUUCGAUGCAACGCGAAGAACCUUACCUGGGUUUGACAUAGAGGUAGUAGGGAAGCGAAAGCGGACCGACCUUCGGGAGCCUCUACAGGUGUUGCAUGGCUGUCGUCAGCUCGUGUCGUGAGAUGUUCGGUUAAGUCCGCUAACGAGCGCAACCCUCGCUGUGUGUUACAAGUGUCACACGGUACUGCCGAUAUUAAGUCGGAGGAAGGUGGGGAUGACGUCAAGUCAGCAUGACCUUUAUAUCCAGGGCUACACACACGCUACAAUGGCCAGUACAAUGGGUUGCCAAGCCGCGAGGCGGAGCCAAUCCUAAAAAGCUGGCCUCAGUUCAGAUUGCAGUCUGCAACUCGACUGCAUGAAGUUGGAGUUGCUAGUAACCGCAGGUCAGCAAUACUGCGGUGAAUACGUUCCCGGGGAUU